rnacentral:misc_RNA from 1 species
AAGUCGUAACAAGGUUUCCGUAGGUGAACCUGCGGAAGGAUCAUUAACGAAUGAAGUUGAGCAGGGUUGUCGCUGGCCUCCGGGCAUGUGCACACCUUGUUCUUCCAACCUUCUACACCACUGUGCACUUUCUCAUGGGUUGGGGUUCUGCGCCUUUAAUGGCUGCGUCCCUGCCUGUGUGCCUACACAUACACAUGUUUGUUAUAGAAUGUCUACUGUGCAUGAAUGCAUAUAAUACAACUUUCAGCAACGGAUCUCUUGGCUCUC